GUAGAUGCUCAUCCCACUCCUUAUGACAGCAUAUGACUUCAUAAAUCUCGGGAUGAUGUAGAGCUGAUUGUCGGUGCCUAUGGUCCACGUUAUAGAUGAGUAAGCAUCUGCCUUUUCAUCGCAAACCGGACACAACGUUGAGUGAGGCACUAUCCGUCUGUAGACCUGAUUAUAUUUAUACACCUGUCUCCUUUGAUAGGUGUUUUUUU
rnacentral:sRNA from 1 species